AGAACGAACGCUGGCGGCAUGCCUAAUACAUGCAAGUCGAACGAACACUUCGGUGUUAGUGGCGCACGGGUGCGUAACGCGUGGGAAUCUGCCCUUGGGUUCGGAAUAACAGUUGGAAACGACUGCUAAUACCGGAUGAUAUCGAAAGAUCAAAGAUUUAUCGCCCAGGGAUGAGCCCGCGUAGGAUUAGCUAGUUGGUGAGGUAAAGGCUCACCAAGGCGACGAUCCUUAGCUGGUCUGAGAGGAUGAUCAGCCACACUGGGACUGAGACACGGCCCAGACUCCUACGGGAGGCAGCAGUAGGGAAUAUUGGACAAUGGGCGCAAGCCUGAUCCAGCAAUGCCGCGUGAGUGAUGAAGGCCUUAGGGUUGUAAAGUCUCUUUUACCCGAGAUGAUAAUGACAGUAUCGGAAGAAUAAGCCCCGACUAACUCCGUAGCCAGCCAGCCGAC
rnacentral:rRNA from 1 species